GAUGAACGCUGGCGGCGUGCCUAAUACAUGCAAGUCGAGCGAAUGGAUUAAGAGCUUGCUCUUAUGAAGUUAGCGGCGGACGGGUGAGUAACACGUGGGUAACCUGCCCAUAAGACUGGGAUAACUCCGGGAAACCGGGGCUAAUACCGGAUAACAUUUUGAACCGCAUGGUUCGAAAUUGAAAGGCGGCUUCGGCUGUCACUUAUGGAUGGACUCGCGUCGCAUUAGCUAGUUGGUGAGGUAACGGCUCACCAAGGCAACGAUGCGUAGCCGACCUGGGAGGGUGAUCGGCCACACUGGGACUGAGACACGGCCCAGACUCCUACGGGAGGCAGCAGUAGGGAAUCUUCCGCAAUGGACGAAAGUCUGACGGAGCAACGCCGCGUGAGUGAUGAAGGCUUCCGGGUCGUAAAACUCUGUUGUUAGGGAAGAACAAGUGCUAGUUGAAUAAGCUGGCACCUUGACGGUACCUAACCAGAAAGCCACGGCUAACUACGUGCCAGCCGCCGCCGUAA
rnacentral:rRNA from 1 species